CAGCCGCCACGGUAAUACGAAGGGUGCAAGCGUUAAUCGGAAUUACUGGGCGUAAAGCGUGCGUAGGCGGUUUGUUAAGUCUGUUGUGAAAUCCCCGGGCUCAACCUGGGAAUGGCAAUGGAUACUGGCAAGCUAGAGUGUGUCAGAGGAUGGUGGAAUUCCCGGUGUAGCGGUGAAAUGCGUAGAGAUCGGGAGGAACAUCAGUGGCGAAGGCGGCCAUCUGGGACAACACUGACGCUGAGGCACGAAAGCGUGGGGAGCAAACAGGAUUAGAUACCCGUGUAGUCCCUGUCUCUUAUAU
rnacentral:rRNA from 1 species